rfam:Candidatus Kaiserbacteria bacterium RIFOXYD1_FTLL_47_14 rifoxyd1_full_scaffold_511, whole genome shotgun sequence.
GCGGAUAUGGUUUAGUGGUAGAACGGCGCCUUGCCAAGGCGCAGACAGGAGUCCGAUUCUCCUUAUCCGCA